rnacentral:rRNA from 1 species
GAUUAGCUUUAAUAUAUAAAGCUCUCGAAAUCCAAUGAGCUACUUUUAUUAAUGAAUUUUAGUUUAUAAAGAGUAGGUGUGGCAAAACCUUUCUUAUAAAUAAAAGUAGAAAUGAAAUUUUAUCCGUAUUGGAUGAUAGCUAGUUUUCUUUUAAAAACAUAGAAGUGUUUAAAUUUAUAAUAUAUAAUUAAAUUAUUUUAAUUAUAAUCAAUUAAAUUUAAAAGAUUUUUAAGGAUAAGCUUGAAAAUAUAAAUUCUAAGAGAUAUUUAAAUAUUUUUAAAAUUUAGGCUUGAAACUAGCCAAAAUUUCAAAAUUUGUUACAAUUUAUUAAAAAAUAAAAUAAAAAUUAAUAUAUAUAAAUAAUAAAGGAAAAUUAUUAUAAACUGAAUUAAUAAAAAUUAAUGCUAAAAUGAGUAUUUUUAGAAUAUUAUUUUUGAUUAUGUAAAUUAUCAAAAUUUUAAUAUAAAUUUAUUAUAAUUAAUUUUUAUGAAGGAACUCGGCAAAUAAUAUUGUUCUGCCUGUUUAUCAAAAACAUGGCUCUUUGAAUUAAAUUAAUAAGGAGUCGGACCUGCCCAGUGAUUUAAUUUAACGGCCGCGGUACCCUGACCGUGCAAAGGUAGCAUAAUCAUUUGCCCUAUAAUUGAGGGCUAGUAUGAAUGGUUUGACAAGAGCAAUACUGUCUCCAUAAAAAUUAAUAGAAAUUAUUUUUUAGGUGAAGAAACCUAAAUAAAAUUAAUAGACAAGAAGACCCUAUCGAGCUUUAAAUCUAUUCAAUAAAAUAAAGAAAAUAAAAUAUAUUUCUAAUUAUGAAAAAUUUUGGUUGGGGCGACUAAGGAACAAAGAAAGCUUCUUUAUAUACUUAAAAUUCGUAAAUAAUGAUCCAUUAUUUAAUGAUUAAAAGAAUUAGUUACCGUAGGGAUAACAGCAUAAUCCUUUUUGAGAGCUCAUAUCGAAAAAAGGGUUUGUGACCUCGAUGUUGGACUAGAAUUUCCUGAAAGAUGCAGAAGUCUUCGAGGGUUGGUCUGUUCGACCAUUAAAAUUCUACAUGAUCUGAGUUCAGACCGGCGUGAGCCAGGUCAGUUUCUAUCUUUAAUUCUUAUACUAAGUUUAGUACGAAAGGACCAAUUUAGAGUAAUAAUUUUACAAAAUAUAGACGAAUUAUAAUAAUAAAAUCAAUAAUUAAUUAAUAUAAAUUAAUUAAAUAGAAAUGGCAGAUAAGUG